rnacentral:rRNA from 1 species
UGGGGAAUCUUGGACAAUGGGGCAACCCUGAUCCAGCCAUGCCGCGUGGACGAUGAAGGCCCUAGGGUUGUAAAGUCCUUUCACCGGUGAAGAUAAUGACGGUAGCCGGAGAAGAAGCCCCGGCUAACUCCGUGCCAGCAGCCGCGGUAAUACGGAGGGGGCUAGCGUUGUUCGGAAUUACUGGGCGUAAAGCGCGCGUAGGCGGAUUGUUAAGUCGGGGGUGAAAUCCCGGGGCUCAACCCGGAACUGCUUCGAUACUGGCAAUCUAGAGAUCUGGAGAGGCGAGUGGAAUUCCGAGUGUAGAGGUGAAAUUCGUAGAUAUUCGGAGGAACACCAGUGGCGAAGGCGGCUCGCUGGCCAGAUACUGACGCUGAGGUGCGAAAGCGUGGGGAGCAAACAGGAUUAGAUACCC